rnacentral:rRNA from 1 species
AAUAGAUACCCUGGUAGUCCACGCCGUAAACGAUGAGUGCUAAGUGUUAGAGGGUUUCCGCCCUUUAGUGCUGCAGCUAACGCAUUAAGCACUCCGCCUGGGGAGUACGGCCGCAAGGCUGAAACUCAAAGGAAUUGACGGGGGCCCGCACAAGCGGUGGAGCAUGUGGUUUAAUUCGAAGCAACGCGAAGAACCUUACCAGGUCUUGACAUCCUCUGACACUCCUAGAGAUAGGACGUUCCCCUUCGGGGGACAGAGUGACAGGUGGUGCAUGGUUGUCGUCAGCUCGUGUCGUGAGAUGUUGGGUUAAGUCCCGCAACGAGCGCAACCCUUGAUCUUAGUUGCCAGCAUUCAGUUGGGCACUCUAAGGUGACUGCCGGUGACAAACCGGAGGAAGGUGGGGAUGACGUCAAAUCAUCAUGCCCCUUAUAACCUGAGCUACACACGUGCUACAAUGGAUGGUACAAAGGGCUGCGAGACCGCGAGGUUUAGCCAAUCCCAUAAAACCAUUCUCAGUUCGGA